rnacentral:miRNA from 1 species
GGGGGCCAGGGGCCAGGGGGGAGGACCUAAUAAGGGGGGGACCUAAGGUCCUCCCCCCUGGCCCCUGGCCCCCUGGCCUCAGGC